rnacentral:rRNA from 1 species
AGAGUUUGAUCCUGGCUCAGGACGAACGCUGGCGGCGCGCCUAACACAUGCAAGUCGAACGGAGUUAAGAGGAGCUUGCUUUUCUUAACUUAGUGGCGAACGGGUGAGUAACGCGUGAGUAACCUGCCCUGGAGUGGGGGACAACAGUUGGAAACGACUGCUAAUACCGCAUAAGCCCACGGAGCCGCAUGGCUUUGAGGGAAAAGGAUUUAUUCGCUUCAGGAUGGACUCGCGUCCAAUUAGCUAGUUGGUGAGGUAACGGCCCACCAAGGCGACGAUUGGUAGCCGGACUGAGAGGUUGAACGGCCACAUUGGGACUGAGACACGGCCCAGACUCCUACGGGAGGCAGCAGUGGGGAAUAUUGCACAAUGGGGGAAACCCUGAUGCAGCGACGCCGCGUGGAGGAAGAAGGUUUUCGGAUUGUAAACUCCUGUCGUUAGGGACGAUAAUGACGGUACCUAACAAGAAAGCACCGGCUAACUACGUGCCAGCAGCCGCGGUAAAACGUAGGGUGCAAGCGUUGUCCGGAAUUACUGGGUGUAAAGGGAGCGCAGGCGGACCGGCAAGUUGGAAGUGAAAACUAUGGGCUCAACCCAUAGAUUGCUUUCAAAACUGCUGGCCUUGAGUAGUGCAGAGGUAGGUGGAAUUCCCGGUGUAGCGGUGGAAUGCGUAGAUAUCGGGAGGAACACCAGUGGCGAAGGCGACCUACUGGGCACCAACUGACGCUGAGGCUCGAAAGCAUGGGUAGCAAACAGGAUUAGAUACCCUGGUAGUCCAUGCCGUAAACGAUGAUUACUAGGUGUUGGAGGAUUGACCCCUUCAGUGCCGCAGUUAACACAAUAAGUAAUCCACCUGGGGAGUACGACCGCAAGGUUGAAACUCAAAGGAAUUGACGGGGGCC